AAAAUGAUUGAGGAAAUACAAUGAAUAACAAUUACAAUAUAUUUCCUCGUCAUAUUGUGUAUAAAAGAGGUCAUACCUUAUUCUCCAAUACAACCUGCCCUGACACAGACUGAACCAGUGUGAACGAAAGCGUUGGCCCAGAAUCAAUCAACUGAAGAUGUUGAAGCUUAUCGUACUGUCCUGUCUAGUGGCCUGUGUCUUAUGUCAAACCUACGGAGGAAGUCGUGGUUCCUUGUUUGAAAAUAGAAGAAGAAAUAGCUGGGACUUGGAAAACGAUCGUUGGAACAGGGAUAGCUUUGGAAGAGAUUGGAACCGACGUGGAAGCGACAGGGGGGGAGACUGGAGGGGAGACAGGUUGGGAGACAGGUGGGGAGACCGGAGGGGAGACAUGUUGGGAGGCAGAAGGUCUCGUGUUAGAAUAGCACACAGACGGAGACAGAUCAGGCAAUAUUGAUGUAGAGACAAACAAUUAUGGAAAAAGAUCCAUGUGGCCGAA
rnacentral:lncRNA from 1 species